GACGAACGCUGGCGGCGUGCUUAACACAUGCAAGUCGAACGGAAAGGCCCUGCUUUUGUGGGGUGCUCGAGUGGCGAACGGGUGAGUAACACGUGAGUAACCUGCCCUUGACUUUGGGAUAACUUCAGGAAACUGGGGCUAAUACCGGAUAGGAGCUCCUGCUGCAUGGUGGGGGUUGGAAAGUUUCGGCGGUUGGGGAUGGACUCGCGGCUUAUCAGCUUGUUGGUGGGGUAGUGGCUUACCAAGGCUUUGACGGGUAGCCGGCCUGAGAGGGUGACCGGCCACAAUGGGACUGAGAUACGGCGCAGACUCCUACGGGAGGCAGCAGUGGGGAGUAUUGCACAAUGGGCGGAAGCCUGAUGCAGCAACGCCGCGUUCGGGAUGACGGCCUUCGGGUUGUAAACCGCUUUCGCCUGUGACGAAGCGUGAGUGACGGUAAUGGGUAAAGAAGCACCGGCUAACUACGUG
rnacentral:rRNA from 1 species